CUGAAAUGUUAGGUUAUCAGGAAUUAGAAAGACUUUGAAGUAAUUUAUUUUACUUUUUUUUCUUUUUAGAAAUUCUGUGGCGUAACAAGUUGCUGUCACACUGGCUUUUUAAAAUAUAUGUAUAUAUUUGAAAUACACAUGCACACAACUAAGUUAGAUUCGUCCACCGUUACUAAUAGAAAACUACAAUGUAGUGGCUUAAAAGGAGAAGGAAUUCUGUUUCUCAUGGUUCAGUGUGAAUGAGUGCAGUAUUCAAAAACAUGAAGUCAGAGUCCAGUACUCAAGUUCUGUAUCACUGAACAUCCUGUGGAAGGCCACCAGUCAAAGAGCAGCAAGAGCACACCUAAAUUAGGAUUAUUAGCUUGCUUCAGCUAAGGAGAAAGUUCUUCAUGAGAGCCAUCUAACCUCUUGGAAUCAGUUCAAUAAGUGGUUAUCUCGGGAAGUUUUAUUAAGAGUCAGAAGAAAUGAAGCUAGGCUGGGCAUGUCUUUGCUCAGAAGAAAAAAUUGUUACCAUCUUGCAUUAGCUUUGUGGUCUUUUUGAAUAAUAAUUAUAUUACCAAAACUAGAGAGAAAAAGUAAAAGAUCUAUAGCAUUGCUAACAUCUACUGUAUGUAAUUUGUUAUAUUUUUUAUUAUGUAUAAUAAAUGCUAUUCAGGCUCUUCUCAAUAUUACAUGCUUACAUUUCAGCUAAGAAAAUGGUAAAUUGUAUUCCAUAGACAUAUAACUUGUAGAAAAAUCAUUAAUUUAAAAAGAGCCAUAGCCAGGCACUGUGGCUUAUACCUAUAAUCCUAGCUAUUCACGCUGUCUAGAUGGGAGCAUCCCUUGAGUCCAGUAGUUCCAGGCUGCAGUGAGCUAUGAUCCUGCCACUACACUGCAGCCUGGGAAACAGAGGGAGUUCCCCAUCUCUUGAAAAAAAAAGCGGCAUCCAUAUUCUAAGUAUAAAUUAUUAUUAUUUGUCUAGGUUUUGCCAAUGCACUUUAUUAUAUAAUAUUAAGUAUUGAUUAAACUUACAUAUGGUAUACAAUUAGCUAUUUCUUUCCUAAAUGUAAGAAAUCUUCUUAUGUUUUUAUGUUUUUAAGAAGAGGAAAACUAACCUGAAUCUUAAACACAUUUCAUGUAUGAUACACUUCCUAUAUUACUCUUAUAAGACAAAGACAAUAUCAAAUAAAGAAAAUCUUGACAAUUAUGUAGUCAUAAGCUUUUAAACAAGAACCAAAUAGAUACUAGAUGAAUUUUCUCCUUUGGAUAUAAAAAAAAAUACUGAAGAUGUAGUCAUUUCGGGC
rnacentral:lncRNA from 10 species